rnacentral:piRNA from 1 species
UCGCGGCCUUGGGCUGUUUUGGCGCCGU